rnacentral:rRNA from 1 species
AGAGUUUGAUCAUGGCUCAGGACGAACGCUGGCGGCGUGCUUAACACAUGCAAGUCGAACGGUGAUGGCCAGCUUGCUGGUCUGAUCAGUGGCGAACGGGUGAGUAACACGUGAGCAACCUGCCCUUCACUCUGGAAUAACUACCGGAAACGGUGGCUAAUACCGGAUAUGAGACGUACACGCAUGUGUCGCGUCUGGAAAGAUUUAUCGGUGAAGGAUGGGCUCGCGGCCUAUCAGCUUGUUGGUGGGGUAGUGGCCCACCAAGGCGACGACGGGUAGCCGGCCUGAGAGGGCGACCGGCCACACUGGGACUGAGAUACGGCCCAGACUCCUACGGGAGGCAGCAGUGGGGAAUAUUGCACAAUGGGCGCAAGCCUGAUGCAGCGACGCCGCGUGAGGGAUGACGGCCUUCGGGUUGUAAACCUCUUUCAGCAGGGAAGAAGCGAAAGUGACGGUACCUGCAGAAGAAGCGCCGGCUAACUACGUGCCAGCAGCCGCGGUAAUACGUAGGGCGCAAGCGUUGUCCGGAAUUAUUGGGCGUAAAGAGCUCGUAGGCGGUUUGUCGCGUCUGCUGUGAAAACCUAAGGCUCAACCUUGGGCUUGCAGUGGGUACGGGCAGACUAGAGUGCGGUAGGGGUGACUGGAAUUCCUGGUGUAGCGGUGGAAUGCGCAGAUAUCAGGAGGAACACCGAUGGCGAAGGCAGGUCACUGGGCCGCAACUGACGCUGAGGAGCGAAAGCAUGGGGAGCGAACCGGAUUAGAUACCCUAGUAGUCC